rnacentral:rRNA from 1 species
GACGAACGCUGGCGGCGCGCCUAACACAUGCAAGUCGAACGGUGAAGAGGAGCUUGCUCCUCGGAACAGUGGCGGACGGGUGAGUAACACGUGAGCAACCUGGCUCUAAGAGGGGGACAACAGUUGGAAACGACUGCUAAUACCGCAUGACGUAUCGGGAUGGCAUCUUCCUGAUACCAAAGAUUUUAUCGCUUAGAGAUGGGCUCGCGUCUGAUUAGAUAGUUGGCGGGGUAACGGCCCACCAAGUCGACGAUCAGUAGCCGGACUGAGAGGUUGAACGGCCACAUUGGGACUGAGACACGGCCCAGACUCCUACGGGAGGCAGCAGUGGGGGAUAUUGGACAAUGGGGGCAACCCUGAUCCAGCGACGCCGCGUGAGGGAAGAAGGUUUUCGGAUUGUAAACCUCUGUUGACGGAGAAAAAAAUGAUGGUAUCCUUUUAGAAAGCCACGGCUAACUACGUG